AUUGAACGAUGGCGGCAGGCCUAACACAUGCAAGUCGAACGAGUGGCGGACGGGUGAGUAAUGUCUGGGAAACUGCCUGAUGGAGGGGGAUAACUACUGGAAACGGUAGCUAAUACCGCAUACCAUCGGAUGUGCCCAGAUGGGAUUAGCAAGUAGGUGGGGAAAAGGCUAACCUAGACGACGAUCCCUAGCUGGUCUGAGAGGAUGACCAGCCACACGGGAACGGAGAAACGGUCCAGAUCCCGACGGGAGGCAGCAGUGGGGAUAAUUGACAAAUGGGCGAAAGCCUGAUGCAGCAAGGCGGGGUGAAUGAAGAAGGCCUUCGGUUGUAAAGUACGUUCAGCGGGGAGGCGUUACCCGCAGAAGAAGCACCGGCUAACUCCGUGCCAGCAGCCGCGGUAAUUC
rnacentral:rRNA from 1 species